rnacentral:rRNA from 1 species
AUGUUGUUGAAGUUAUUGGAGAUCAAGAAAGAGUUGGCCGAGAAGAAGGCAAAAAAAAAGCAAGAAAAGUGGCAAUUGCACAAGGAAGAGGGGCUCCGCAAAGCUGCCAUUAAGGAGAGAAGAGCACGCGCCGCUCAAAACAAAUCCAUGUCCUUGUUGCUCGCCGAAGAGAACAAGAUCAUGUCAAUGAACCGCGAUGACAUGGAUGACCUCACCAAAACAUGGCAUGAUAUGGCAAGGAGAGAAAUCUUGAAGAGGAAAAUGGUCGCGUCGGCCGGUCCGUGUUACAGUUUCGGAGAUGUUUUCUCUGCUCCAUAUGCUGGCAACGUCGAUGAUUUCGGUGCGGGAGUUGGGACAAGCGCCGGAGGUGGUUUCGGUGGUGCCGAUGAACUUUAA